AAAUGAACACGCGGGGGCUCCCACGAUCACCGGGGGCUGAGAUGGUGGCAGGCGGCCGCCGACCGCCUGAACCUGUCCGGGUAAUGCCGGCGUAGGGAGAGAGCACCAUGGGUAC
rnacentral:ncRNA from 2 species